rnacentral:rRNA from 1 species
UGCAAGUCGAGGGGCAGCACGAUGUAGCAAUACAUGGGUGGCGACCGGCGCACGGGUGCGUAACACGUAUGGAAUCUGCCUUUUACUGGAGGAUAGCCCGGAGAAAUCCGGAUUAAUACUCCAUAACAAGCGAGGUGGCAUCACCUUGCUUUGAAAGCUCCGGCGGUAAAGGAUGACCAUGCGCACGAUUAGCUAGUUGGUGAGGUAACGGCUCACCAAGGCUACGAUCGUUAGGGGGCCUGAGAGGGUUAUCCCCCACACUGGUACUGAGACACGGACCAGACUCCUACGGGAGGCAGCAGUGAGGAAUAUUGCGCAAUGGAGGCAACUCUGACGCAGCCAUGCCGCGUGCAGGAAGAAGGCGCUACGCGUUGUAAACUGCUUUUAUUCGGGAAGAAACCCCCAGACGUGUCUGGGGUUGACGGUACCGGAGGAAUAAGCACCGGCUAACUUCGUGCCAGCAGCCGCGGUAAUACGAAGGGUGCAAGCGUUAUCCGGAUUCAUUGGGUUUAAAGGGUGCGUAGGCGGAACGUUAAGUCAGUGGUGAAAUCCUGCAGCUCAACUGUAGACUUGCCAUUGAUACUGACGUUCUUGAGUGCGCUUGAAGUAGGCGGAAUGUGCCGUGUAGCGGUGAAAUGCUUAGAUAUGGCACAGAACACCAAUUGCGAAGGCAGCUUACUAAGGCGAUACUGACGCUGAGGCACGAAAGCGUGGGGAUCGAACAGGAUUAGAUACCCUGGUAGUCCACGCCGUAAACGAUGAUCACUCGAGAUUGGCGAUAUACGGUCAGUCUCCUAGCGAAAGCGUUAAGUGAUCCACCUGGGGAGUACGAUCGCAAGAUUGAAACUCAAAGGAAUUGACGGGGGCCCGCACAAGCGGUGGAGCAUGUGGUUUAAUUCGAUGAUACGCGAGG